CAUGGAAGCUCACCGGGCAGCGGGGC
rnacentral:piRNA from 1 species